GGAGAGGUAUCGAAGUGGUCAUAACGAGGCGGUCUUGAAAACCGUUUGGGGGAAACCCCACAAGGGUUCGAAUCCCUUCCUCUCCGCCA
rnacentral:tRNA from 1 species